GGUUCUCUGCGGUGUGCGAGGCGGGCCGGUAGUCCCGAUCCAACACAUAGAACCCGGGAGUCCGGCUCCGGACGCCGAGGCAGACCCUGCGGACGGUUUCGCAGGCAGCCGAAGCGCCUGGGAGGACACCCACCUACGAGAGUGGGGUUCGGGGACUUCGUCCCGCACGGCACGGCGGAGAACAC
rnacentral:other from 1 species